rnacentral:tRNA from 1 species
GCGGGAGUAGUUUAAGAUAGAAUGGUAGAUUGUCGAUUUACUGGUGCUUUGAGAGUCUUUCGUU